UUGCUUCAGCAGCACAUAUACCAAAAUUGGAAUGAUACAGAGAAGACUUGCAUGGCUCCUGUGCAAGGAUGACACACAAAUUCAUGAAGGGUUCCAUGUUUUU